CCUACGGGGGGCUGCAGUAAGGAAUAUUGGUCAAUGGACGAAAGUCUGAACCAGCCAUGCCGCGUGGAGGAUGAAGGUCCUCUGGAUUGUAAACUUCUUUUAUAUGGGACGAAAAAAGGCCUUUCUAGGCCGUCUGACGGUACCAUAUGAAUAAGCACCGGCUAACUCCGUGCCAGCAGCCGCGGUAAUACGGAGGGUGCAAGCGUUAUCGGGAUUCAAUGGGGCUAAGGGGUGCGGAUAAGGCUGGAUAGAAAUCUCCGAGCUUAACUUGGAAACUGCCAUUGAUACUAUUAAUCUUGAAUAUUGUGGAGGUUAGUGGAAUAUGUCAUGUAGCGGUGAAAUGCUUAGAUAUGACAUAGAACACCAAUUGCGAAGGCAGCUGGCUACACAUAUAUUGACACUGAGGCACGAAAGCGUGGGGAUCAAACAGGAUUAGAUACCCCAGUAGUC
rnacentral:rRNA from 1 species